rnacentral:rRNA from 1 species
GACGGAGGGCGCGAGCGUUGUUCGGAAUUACUGGGCGUAAAGCGCGCGCAGGCGGGUGCGUAAGUCGGGAGUGAAAGACCGGGGCUCAACCCCGGGGCGGCUUCCGAGACUGCGUAUCUGGGGACCGGUAGAGGCCGGUGGAAUUCCCGGUGUAGCGGUGGAAUGCGUAGAGAUCGGGAAGAACACCCGUGGCGAAGGCGGCCGGCUAGGCCGGGUCCGACGCUGAGGCGCGAAAGCGUGGGGAGCAAACAGG